rnacentral:lncRNA from 1 species
CCUCGUCUCUACUAAAAACACAAAAUUAUCCGGGCAUGGUGGCACAUGCUUGUAAUCCCAGCUACUCAGAAAGGCUGAGGCAGGAGAAUCACUUGAACCCAGGAGGCAGAGGUUGUGGUGAGCCGAGAUGGAGCCAUUGCAUUCCAGCCUGAGCAACAAGAGUGAAAAAAAAAAGAAAAAAGCUCAAUUAUGUGUCUCAAAAAAAAAAAAAAAGAAAGAAAAGAGCUAAAUUAUGUGGUGCUUUGGAAGCUGGGACCACAUGGACUCUUAAGAGGGAUGGCACCUUCUAAGAGGUUCCAAGGGCGGAAACAAGGGGCAGUUCCACUGGGUUUCAGACACAGAGAUCCCAGCCUGGAUUGUCGUGGAGGAUGAAGCUGCUCCAUCUUGGAUGCUGAUCCGCCAUGUUGUCCUCUGGUUAACCCCUGUUCUGGAAUGCCUCCUCUAAGAUUGCCACUUUAUCUACUGUGACCUUAAAUCCUGCUCUUAGGUAGAUUCACAUAGCAUUCUGCGCCUUUCCCUGAGGGGUUGACUUCAGUGGUGCCACACAUUUCUACUGAGGCAUGUGUACCUUUUGCAUCAGGUAUAUCAGCCCUGGGACUCGGGGAUAACUGACUGACGGCUGCCUGGCUUCUGUUUCUAAGUUGCUAUUAAAUGUUUCUUUCUGAGAAACUGGA